rnacentral:lncRNA from 1 species
UAGUGGCUCAGCACUGGGCUUAGAAAUGGGAUGGAGGGGAAGGAGACGGACACACACACACACACACACACACACACACACACACACACACACACACACACACACACACACACACACACAGCCACACACACACACACACACACGUCUCCUAAGUUCUACUUGGACAGAGCUGAAUAAAUGACUAAGGCAGCUGGCGUGGAGCUCGUCUGUGUCUAUAUCUGCUGAAUGAUUUUAACUUUAAGUUGCACUAAGCACAUUCGUUGCUCUCUAUCCAUCAUCUGAAUUUAAUGAGGUCAGUUCAUGGCAGGUGACAGACAACAAAGACUAAUCAAUUGUGCCAUCCCUCAUUCACAGGGGACACCAAAUGUCAUUACGUGUCACCACGCAAAGAGAGACUGUCAAUAUACUUAGGGAAAUGCAGCGGUGGCAGAAAGCUCAGAUCUAUUCUCAGCCCGGCUGGAUGUGAUGCUCUCUGAAGCCUUGGGCUGGAGGAAGGAGGUCAGUGUGCGACUGGAGCUGGAUGCUGUUCUGCCUGUUAUGAGUAGAGAAGGUAACCUCGCCUCAGGAUUCUCAUUUCUCUUAUUAUAUUGCAUAUUAGCUAUAGGUGGCUCACACCUCCCCAGGAAAGUCUGAGGCAGGACCCUGAUAGUCCAACAUGUGAUUCUGGAGCAGCUGUGAGGCUUCCACCCUGGUUGUGGAGGCUCAACCAGCUCUGAACUGAACCUUUAGCAGGGGUUUGGUAAAUGUGUAGAAAGCGUUCACUAACGGACAAGAUGCCAAAUAAAUCCCAAAUUUCCUUAGUUCCGUUUUAAAUG